UACGGGGGGGGCAAGCGUUGUCCGGAAUCAUUGGGCGUAAAGAGCGUGUAGGCGGUCCGGUAAGUCGGCUGUGAAAGUCCAGGGCUCAACCCUGGGAUGCCGGUCGAUACUGCCGGACUAGAGUUCGGAAGAGGCGAGUGGAAUUCCCGGUGUAGCGGUGAAAUGCGCAGAUAUCGGGAGGAACACCUAUGGCGAAGGCAGCUCGCUGGGACGUUACUGACGCUGAGACGCGAAAGCGUGGGGAGCAAACAGG
rnacentral:rRNA from 1 species